rnacentral:rRNA from 1 species
AUACGGAGGAUCCGAGCGUUAUCCGGAUUUAUUGGGUUUAAAGGGUGCGUAGGUGGUUUGAUAAGUCAGCGGUGAAAGUUUGCAGCUUAACUGUAAAAAUGCCGUUGAAACUGUCGGACUUGAGUGUAAAUGAGGUAGGCGGAAUGCGUGGUGUAGCGGUGAAAUGCAUAGAUAUCACGCAGAACUCCGAUUGCGAAGGCAGCUUACUAAGCUACAACUGACACUGAAGCACGAAAGCGUGGGGAUCAAACAGGAUUAGAUACCCUGGUAGUCCACGCGGUAAACGAUGAUUACUAGCUGUUUGCGAUACACAGUAAGCGGCACAGCGAAAGCGUUAAGUAAUCCACCUGGGGAGUACGCCGGCAACGGUGAAACUCAAAGGAAUUGGCGGGG